AGAGGAAGACUGGCGGUUGCAGGCUUUGUGCCUGAGGAAAGUCCGGGCUUCCAAAAGACCAAACUUGCUGGGUAACGCCCAGUGCGGGCGACCGUGAGGAUAGUGCCACAGAAAAAUACCGCCUAACCAAUUUUGGGUUUUAGAAUACGUUCAAAACCUAAAAUUGGCUGGGUAAGGGUGCAAAGGUGCGGUAAGAGCGCACCAGCAACGUCGAGAGGCGUUGGCUCGGUAAACCCCGGUUGGAAGCAAGGUUGAACGGAGCAAUGGUUGGUCUUUAACCUGCUUCGGGUAAGAGUAGGGAAACUUACUUUUGCGCAAUCCGCUAGAGGUGUCUGGUAACAGGCAUCCCAGAUAGAUAACCGUCCUUCGACAGAACCCGGCUUAUGUCUGCCUCUCCCC
rnacentral:RNase_P_RNA from 1 species